UGCGGCCGUCGCGGCGACCGCGUCCCGCUCUGUCGGGAUGAGGAAAGUCCGAACUGCCGGGGCACGGUGCUUGCUAACAGCAAGGCGGAGCAAUCCGACGGAAAGUGCAACAGAAAAGAUACCGCCGGUCCGGCGGGCCUGCGGUCCGUCGGACAGGUAAGGGUGAAAUGGUGCGGUAAGAGCGCACCGCGCCGGGGGUGACUCCGGCGGCAUGGCAAACCCCACCGGCAGCAAGGCCAAAUAAGCGGAGGAGAACAGCCCGAUGCCCCCGGGCGCUGUCGGGACACUAAUCCGGCAGCCCUCCGCGGGUAGGCCGCUUGAGGCGUGCGGCGACGCAUGUCCCAGAGAAAUGGUCGCCCCGGCGCCUGGCGGCGCCGGAACAGAAUUCGGCUUACGAACGACCGCAGCAC
rnacentral:RNase_P_RNA from 1 species